GAUGAACGCUGGCGGCGUGCCUAAUACAUGCAAGUCGAGCGAACGGACGAGACGCUUGCUUCUCUGAUGUUAGCGGCGGACGGGUGUGUAACACGUGGAUCCCCUCCCUAUCAGACUGGGAUAACCUCGGGAAACCGGCUCUAAUCCCGGAUAAUCUUUUGCACCGCAUGGUUCAAAAGUGAAAGACGGUCUUGCUGUCACUUAUAGCUGGAUCCGCGCUGCAUUAGCUAGUUGGUAAGGUAACGGCUUACCAAGGCAACGAUGCAUAGCCGACCUGAGAGGGGGAUCGGCCACACGGGAACUGAGACACGGACCAGAGGACUACGGGAGGCAGCAGUAGGGAAUCGUCCGCAAUGGGCGAAAGCCUGACGGAGCAACGCCGCGUGAGUGAUGAAGGUCUUCGGAGCGGAAAACUCUGUUAUGAGGGAAGAACAGAUGUGUAAGUAACUGUGCACAGCGUGACGGUACCGAAUCAGAAAGCCACGGCUAACUACGUG
rnacentral:rRNA from 1 species